UAUACCUCAUGUACGCUUCAAUUAUACUCUCUCUCUCUCAUUAAUCGUUCCUCAUCUACACGAAAACCCUAAUCUCUCUCUGUUGAAUAAGAAUCCUCUGCGUCUCUCUCUCAGUACCAUCGGCGACAACAUUCAAUCGGAUAUUUCAAUCCAUCAUUCUAUCGAAAUUGACGGAUAAUUCUUUGAGUUUAAGGGUGUUCAAGAGAAGAAAGAUGAGAAGCAUCUGGUGCCUGAUCUAGGUUAUUUAACCAGUAUCUACUCUACGAUAGGGAUAGAGAAAUGUUUUAUUACUUGAAAGGGCGGUAGAUUGAUUAUGGUGAAGAACACAAGGCUUGUGGGCAUUCUCAGUUUGAAAGGAUACAUGAACAAGUUGGUGGAGAUUGCUCCGAUACUGCGUGUGGCUAAUGAAAUUGAGCCUAGCAACCCUAGGGUUGCUUAUCCCUGUAAGUUUUUUUUUAGGCGUAAUUGUGUUAAAUGAGUGUUGUUUCCAUGUAGAUAGUUAUUGUAGGUUUCUGCCAAAGUGCCAAUCCAUUCGACAUGCAUUAUUUAUCUCUGGUUGAAAGGAAAGUUGCUGAUUAUUUUGCAAAAUCAUUGCGGUGGAUCUAAAUGGAGGUUUGAGUGUAUGAAAUUGAUUGACCGGAAACGCAUAUUGAAGCCUUAUGAAAGGGUGUUUUGGAGAUCACGUUUUUUUCAGGUUCUUUUUGAAAAAUGGAAAGGUGUUAGAUGCACUGCAACUGUUUGAUGAAAAGUCUGAGAGAAAUUUCAAUUUUUUGGGACAACUGUUAAUUCUUCAUUGUCUGGUAAUUUUUUCAGAUGAAUGUGUUUAAUUUGAGACAAGAAUUUUUCUGCUCAUCGGUAUUUUCGUUGUUCGGCAUAUCGGUAAUUGGCUCCAGAUCUGAUUAUUAUUACUAUUGUUAUAACUGAGACAAGAAUUUUUCCAUCACCAGUGCUGUUUGGUUGUAAAACCCUAAUGGAUCCUUCUCUGCUGCUUGAAUCAUCUAGGAACCACACCAUCCAAUCCAAACUGAAGAACCCUAAAUCUCAAUGGCAGCAACUAACCAACAAGUAUGUUUCUUCUCAAAUUUUGUUGUUGUAACCCGAUAAUCGUUGGAUUAUUCCGCUUGAAUGUAUGUCUAAUCUCUGCAUCGAUUCUAUCGCCAGAUUAUUCAAUUUCUUUGUUGUAUCAGUAAUGUAAGAUGUAUUUCAUUACUUACUUUUACUUUCGCACAACAUUAUUUUGUUUUAUUUCGAUUUUAUCUGGUUAAGGUUUCAAAUUCCUUUUAAUUGAUGUGUAAGCCCUUUGAAGUGCUUUAAUUCCUUUGAAAUCAUUAAUGAAUUUACUAACAAAUCUUCAUUGUGAAGGGCGUUAGUGAGAUGUACAAUUUAUCUGCAGCUGAAAAAGAAUACCCAAAUUGUAAAAUUGUCCCUUGUGAGCAGUUUGAAAUUGCAUUUCAAGUGAGACCCAUUUUUUAUUCACUAUCACUGAUCAUUCUGACAUUCAAUCACUUAUAUUUGUGAACAUUGGUAUCAUUUUUUUUAUUAAAUCGUAGGUUCCCAUCAAAAAUAUUUUUAUUAUUAUUGCAAAUUAAUAUUGAUUCAUGUGGGUAUUAUAUGCAUAUGUUUAUCUGAUGGUUCGGGUUACGGGUGUAGUAUUAAUUCAUGCUAUUGUUUGUAUGAUGACUUUGAUUAGUUGCUCUGAUGAUUAUCUUGCUUGCGUAUGAUGAAAAUAGCCCUUACAUGAUAUGAAACGAUGUAGACACCGCUAGACAUUGGAUCUUUAAGUCACGUGCACGUUAAGGGCCUUAAAAGAAUCGAAAUUAAAGUAAGACUUAGAAAAGAAAAUAAAGAAUUAAAGAAAAUAGAACGAACAUGAUUGAGAGGUUAUCUGCAUGUUUGUUUAGCUCAUUUAACAUUUUGUUUUAAUAAUCUUACCAUAGUGUGUGCUGAGUUAGUUCGUGGGGACUGGGGACAAAGAAAAGAAAUUGAGAGUCAAUCGACCAGUUAGAAUACCAACUUAAGUUCUUAAUCGUGAUUUUAAUAAUAACAUAAUUCAUAUUUUCUACAUUAAUUCAUCUAAAUUUUGAUGAUGUCAAAUAAUGCACGUGAUGUAGCUAUAUAGAGUAAUGUUUUCAAGAUGUCUGUCAUCACAUUAGAAUUAAAUUGUAGAUUUAUAACAUUAACAUGUAUUUUUGAGAUGAUGGAUGACUUCUCUAAAAUUCGUUUCAAUAAAGUAUAUCCUAAAUAUCUUUUCGCAUUGUUUUUUUAAUAUUACAACCAGUGUUUUAAAAACUGGACCUGGAUAACUUAAUUAACAAGAAACAUAUCUAUCUAUCACAGGAGUUAACAUACUUAAAAGAGCUUAAUAGUUGUUUGGUGUUGCUACUUUUGAAAACAUUUUGUAAUUUCCUUCGAAUUUAGUAUGCUUAGAUACUGUUUAAUAUAUUCGCUAAACUUGUAACCUUUGUAUUUAGUCAUUUUAUGUUUUAGGGAAUAGCAUUGAGAGGGCUUUGUAUAACUGACAAAGAAGACGCUAUUCAACACUACACAAUUGACAGUCAUGUAAUUGGAAGAAGUGAAGAUGAAGGAAUGAGAACACUUCAGAGCCUACACGAUACAGUUUCUUAGUUCACAAGUAUGGAUUAUGUUUCAAAGCAACUUUCACGUACUAAAGAUGCAAUUGGUUUGUUAAUUGGAAUGGAAGAUCUGCCACUAGAAAAGCAAUCCGAGUAUUUGUCAUCUGUAUUGACUCCUCUUUGUCAACGGGUUAAAGUUUUACUUUUUCUUAUGAUAUAUAAAAAAUUUAUAUUAUGCAAUAAUGAUGUAUAAGUGGAUUUUCAUUUGAACUAUAUAAUCAUAAUGCAAGUGUGGUGUAAUGAGUUAAGUUGAGAUAA